GGCCUAAUGGUCUAGUCGUAUGAUUCUUCCUUCGGGUGUAACAACCUGCGCUUCACGAGCGUGCAGAUGGAAGAGGUCCUGGGUUCAAUUCCCAGUUAGGCCC
rnacentral:tRNA from 2 species